GGUUAGAUGGCGCAAUUGGCUAGCGCAGAUCCUCCUUAUGGAUUUGGUUUCAGGUUCGAGUCCUGAUCUGACCG